CGGCGCGUGUGGACGCAGGCUGGGGGAGCAGAGCCGAGGCGUCCCGAGAAAAGCCCAGGGCGGUGAAGAUGGAAGGGAUGAAUCUGAGCGCGACCGAGAUGGAAGGAGAAUCUGAGGAGAAGUGGGGGUGACGGGGUGUAGACCGUGAGCCAUGCCUCGGGACCAGAGGGCAAGGCGCUGGAGAGGGCGGCCCGCCCCUAGCCCCUGGCACGCUCCCCCUAGCCAAGAUCACCUUUCCUGCUGACAAGAAGAUCUCACUUAUGAGUCCCAACCUCGAUGGCAAAUUUGAGAAAGCUUCCCCGGGCUAUUUUUAAGGCUGAACUUUUAUUUGGUUAAAGACCAUUCCUUUGCUAGUCCUUCAGAUGAGGAAGCUGAGAUAGCUCUUCUGCUGAGAGUCUGUGUUGUCCUAAUAAUCUAAUAAAUGAUGUUGAGGAGUCUUUAAAUUGUGAAGCUACACGAAGAAAAGCUAUAAACUGAGAUCUUAAAGCAUGUUGAAUUGUCGACUCACUGGCAAUUAAAGUUUCAUUGUUAUUACA